rnacentral:tRNA from 1 species
GGUUUGUGGCUCAGUGGUAGAGUGCUCGCCUAGCGUGCACGAGACACUGGGUUCAAUCCUCGGCACCA